rnacentral:rRNA from 1 species
UACGUAGGCAGCAAGCGUUGUUCGGAGUUACUGGGCGUAAAGGGUGUGUAGGCGGUUCUCUAAGUUUGGUGUGAAAUCUCCCGGCUCAACUGGGAGGGUGCGCCGAAAACUGGAGGGCUAGAGUACUGGAUGGGAGAGUGGAAUUCCUGGUGUAGCGGUGAAAUGCGUAGAUAUCAGGAGGAACACCUGUGGUGUAGACGGCUCUCUGGACAGUAACUGACGCUGAGGCACGAAAGCGUGGGUAGCAAACAGG